rnacentral:rRNA from 1 species
GACGAACGCUGGCGGCGUGCCUAACACAUGCAAGUCGAACGGAGAUACGAUUUCGGUUGUAUCUUAGUGGCGAACGGGUGAGUAACGCGUGAGCAACCUGACUCUUAGAGGGGGAUAACACUGGGAAACGAGUGCUAAUACCGCAUAAGACCACGACAUGGCAUCAUGACGAGGUCAAAGGAGCAAUCCGCUGAGAGAGGGGCUCGCGUCCCAUUAGAUAGAUGGCGGGGUAACGGCCCACCAUGUCAACGAUGGGUAGCCGAGCUGAGAGGCUGAUCGGCCACACUGGAACUGAGACACGGUCCAGACUCCUACGGGAGGCAGCAGUGGGGAAUAUUGGGCAAUGGGCGCAAGCCUGACCCAGCAACGCCGCGUGAGGGAAGAAGGCUUUCGGGUUGUAAACCCCUGUCCUUGGUGACGAAAAAAAUGACGGUAGCCAAGGAGGAAGCCCCGGCUAACUACGUGCCAGCCGCCGCGGUAA